UACGAAGGGUGCAAACGUUGCUCGGAAUUAUUGGGCGUAAAGCGCACGUAGGCGGCUUGGCAAGUCGGAUGUGAAAUCCCUCGGCUCAACCAAGGAAGUGCAUCCGAAACUGCUGAGCUUGAGUACUUAAGAGGAUCGCGGAAUUCCCGGUGUAGAGGUGAAAUUCGUAGAUAUCUGGAGGAACACCGGUGGCGAAGGCGGCAUCCUGGACCGGUAUUGACGCUGAGGCGCGAAAGCCAGGGGAGCAAACGGG
rnacentral:rRNA from 1 species